AAGAACUUCCUCACUUUCUUUGUAGGGCACUAAUCUGUUCAUGAGGGAUCAACUCCCAUGACCCAAACAUCUCCCAUUAACCCCCACCUCCAACACUGAAGAUCAGAUUUCAACAUGAGA